rnacentral:lncRNA from 1 species
AAUAUUAAUAAUCAUUUUUUAAUGAUAGGCACAAUCUUGUAGCAACCAGGACAUUUGCGGAUAGAACGCAUGAGAGGUGCUUAAAAAUGUCGUACCACUUGCGGUUUGGUUAUCCUAUGCAAAAUGAGUUAUCCCAGGUCGCUUUAUAUUUUCAAUGCUAGCAAAAUGGUUAAAUGAUAUGGCAACCAAUACCAUUGAACAAAUAAAAAUUGAACGUUUUGGUUAUUUUUUACUUAUGACACUGGUUGUUUUGAUAUUUGCUAUUGUGGUUUGUAUAUCGUCAAAGAAAAAAAAAAGAUGGUCAUCUGAAAACAAAAGCGAAGAUCAAACGG